rnacentral:misc_RNA from 1 species
AUUUUAGACAACUUUUGUUAGUGCGCACAGAAAAGCAUGGGCCAGGCGACGGUGUUUUGCGCGCAUGCAAAUUUUGGGACCCGGAGGUUAUAUAUGGGAGUGGGAUGAGUCGAUGGCAAAGAGCGACAAAAGAGAUUUUGCAAGAGUAGCCUAAGCCACUUUUGCAAGAGCUUGGAUGUUACUCUGGGUCAGAAGGCUGUAUUUAUAUAGGUAAGUUUGGCGAGAGGGACUGUUGCUGGUCCCCAGGCGCCUCUUGUGGGUAAAGUCAUUGGCAAGAGAAAUAUGGGCUUGGGUUCUCCAAGUGCUGAAAGCUCUUGCUAAAACUUUGUCAACUUUCCCUCACUCCCCACCGCGUACUCUAGGGUGCGCACCGCAGUAACGCUUUACGGUGGUGCUGUGUGGCCUCGCGAUUUAUCGCCCAAGUCUCGGGAUGACAACGUCUCCCCGAGCAAGGAAAGAAACAGUGGAUUACUAGGCUAUGCCAAAAUAAUCCCAACCAAAACUCAAGAUCACUCCGAUCUCUCUUACUACGAGUCAGUGGACAACCCCAAAAAAA